rnacentral:tRNA from 2 species
GGGCUCGUAGCUCAGCCUGGAAGAGCACCACGUUCGCAACGUGGGGGCCCCGGGUUCAAAUCCCGGCGAGUCCA